GUGCCCGUAACUCAGCGGUAGAGUGUGAGAUUGCAAUGUUCCUCAAGAUCACGAACAAUCUUGAAGCCGCGUGUUCGAACCACGCCGGGCACU